GGUGAACCUGCGGAAGGAUCAUUACCGAUGUGAAAGAAUCCAAGGUUAAACAUCAUUAACCAGUGUGAACUGUGAAACAACUCUUUAGGGGUCGGCACAGGCGUGUGUCGUUAAAUGGCGGAUAGGUUCCUUCCGCCAGCCCCGCCAUUGUGUUUAUGAUAUCACUUUGAACGUUAAAGACUGAGAACGUAUGUAUCAUGCAUUAAAUGUAUGAGAAAGAAGGAAAGAAAAAUGAGAGACAACUUUUGACGGUGGAUCUCUUGGCUCACGUAUCGAUGAAGAACGCAGCCAGCUGCGAUAUGUAGUGUGAAUUGCAGAAUUCAGUGAAUCAUUGAAUCUUUGAACGCAAAUGGCGCUCUUGGGUUCUCCCAGGAGCAUGUCUGUCUGAGUGUCGGAUUUUAUCGAACGCACUCGUGAGUGCGGUAUUGAGGUGUCACGGCGUGUUAGCAAGCAAGCAUUAAAUCGCCGUGUCCCUUGAAGGACAGCAGCAUUGGACUCGCAUUCUCUAUUGAAACUUGAGUGCGAAGGCUAAAGAUAAUAUUUCCCUUCGCCCAAACAUGCAAUAGCAGAAACAAAAUCCAAUCAAAGCGGUGACAGACAAUAAACAUCAAAUCUUGACCUCAGAUCAGGCAAGGCUACCCGCUGA
rnacentral:sRNA from 1 species